rnacentral:miRNA from 2 species
UGGGAUUUGGCGAAUUGUGGU